rnacentral:misc_RNA from 1 species
ACAGAUUCAUCAACUAAAGAGCAGAACUCAUUGGGUUCAGGAACCAUCGGCUGCCAAGUAGAUGUAUCAAUUGUGGGGUAUUGUGGGGAAGAAUGUGUCAGUUGGCCAAUUCCUGAAGUUGGAGUAGCAGCAUGAUCACUGACCCCUUCAGUCGGUUUCAGAGAAGAUGCAUUUACAAGAUUUGAAUCCCAUUCCUCAACAGAAGGUUUGGCAGGAGUAGGAGAAUAUCCACCCCAGUCACCAGCUACUUCACGAUGCUGUCCACCACCAACCACUAAACUGGACGCAGUGCUCCAACUAGGCCCCGAAUCCUGGACAGGAACAUUUGAACCAACAGACAGUUUGUUAUCAGCAGCCUGACCUUUCAAAUCCCCAUCGCUAUGCUUUGCUGUUGGACUAGGCAGAUCAGAGAAACCUAUUUUCUGAUUCUGCUCAGAUUUCUCACUAGACUUGGCCCCAGACACAAAACCAGAAUUGGAUUCCCAUCCACUUGAGGAACUGUUUAUGGCUUGAGAUCCCCAGUUCUGUCCAGAGGAUUGGCUCGAGUAACCCUCACUGUCAGCAUGUUUACAUUUCUCAUCGAUAUUAGUUCGACCCAUAGUGGUUGUGUGUGAAUUUCCAUCUGCAUGGCAUGGAUUGGAACUCCAUUUUUCAUCCCCAUGCCCUUCCCUUGCUUGAAGCAAUGGAGUUUCAAAAAGCUUCCCAGAAGGUGGAGGUGAGAGGCCAGCCCAAGACUUGCCACCUUUGGACAAUUCCCAACCUUGUAAGGAACUUUUAGCCAGUGCAGUAUUGGUAAUUGCAACAUCCACAGCCUUAG